AUUGAACGCUGGCGGCAGGCCUAACACAUGCAAGUCGAGCGGAGCGGCUGACGGGUGAGUAAUGCCUAGGAAUCUGCCUGGUCGUGGGGGAUAACGUCCGGAAACGGGCGCUAAUCUCGCAUACUAUCAGAUUAGCCUAGGGCGGCUGAGCUAUUUGGUGGGGUAAAGGCCUACCAAGGCGACGAUCCGUAACUGGGCUGAGAGGAUGAUCGGUCAAACUGGAACUGGGACACGGUCCAGACUCCUACGGAGGGAAGCAGGGGGGAAUAUUGGAAAAUGGGCGAAAGCCGUAUGCAGACAUGCCGCGGGUGUGAAGAGGGUCUUCGGAUUGUAAAGCACUUUAAGUUGGGAGGCGUUACCAACAGAAUAAGCACCGGCUAACUUCGUGCCAGCAGCCGCGGUAAUAC
rnacentral:rRNA from 1 species